rnacentral:rRNA from 1 species
AACGAACGCUGGCGGCAGGCUUAACACAUGCAAGUCGAGCGCCCCGCAAGGGGAGCGGCAGACGGGUGAGUAACGCGUGGGAAUCUACCCAUCUCUACGGAAUAACGCAUGGAAACGUGUGCUAAUACCGUAUACGUCUUUCGGGAGAAAGAUUUAUCGGAGAUGGAUGAGCCCGCGUUGGAUUAGCUAGUUGGUGGGGUAAAGGCCUACCAAGGCGACGAUUCAUAGCUGGUCUGAUAGGAUGAGCAGCCACACUUGGACUGAGACACGGCCCAGACGCCUACGGGAGGCAUCAGUGGGUAAUAUUGGUCAAUGGGCGCAAGCCUGAUCCAGCCAUGCCGCGUGAGAGAUGAAGGCCCUAGAGUUGUAAAGCUCUUUCACUGGCGAAGAUAAUGACGGUAACCGGAGAAGAAGCCCCGGCUAACUUCGUGCCAGCCGCCGCAGUAAAAC